AGUAAAUCAGGAUGUUGAGUAAUGCUGGGAAUUUACUUGGUGCCCCCAACUGUAAAUGCGGAACUUGCCUAACCAGUGAUGGAACUAUGAAUCUCCUUGGAAGCAACAGAUUGAGUUGGGGGAAAGGUGUGGUUGACUGAGGCAGUCUUCUGCCACUGCAACAGACACACAAGAAUGGCACUGUUCGGUGGAUGCAGUUUGAACUGUUACUCGUGUUGCCCCUCCUUCGGUUCUUCCUUGGAUGCAGUCUACUUAAGAUAGUCCCAUCUCAGAUGGAUUUUGGUACACCUUCAUACUGUGCAUGCUGUACGAUGCAGAUAUAACAUGGAAUGGAAGGUACCAGCUGCCUGCCAGCCUUUUGAUGGCACUCACAACUUGUCUAUUCACAUUCAUAUCGUGCGUGUGAUGGUCAGGAACCAGGCUGCAUCUUCUGAAGAAAUCAACACUUCUCAUGUUGUUAACUGAAGAAAUUGACAGCCAGCGAUUGGCGCCAAAUUGGGUGGGCUCAUCGUCGACUGUCCGACCUCUAUCCAACAGCAACUUACCGCCUUGCCCCUAGUUACGACACACACCACCCUGAAGAGUGCAUCCAACGGCUCUGAAGAUUGGAGUUGUCGCCAUUUGAAUUAUUACAGUCUCCUUGUUCACCUGCUUUACAUUAGCUUUAAAGUUGAGAUUGCCUUUCACUGGUUGUAAAGGGUAUAAAACCCCUGAUCUAUCUGUGAGCCCUGUACUAGGGGUAAACCCUAGCCGCCAUGUCCUGAAGAGCGUAAACGGUAUCCUUAAUUUGCUAGUAUAUAUUUCUCCCGUAAUCAUCCUCUGAAUUCACUUAGCUAGCUACUUGGUGUGAUCUGAGAGUGAUUUGGUUUUCUCAA